UUCCAGUCCACAUUACACUCUAUAAGUCUUGGUGGAAUGCAGGACUACUUGUACUCUCUCCUGUUUUAUAGAGGCUGUAGGGAAACUGCUCUUUCAUGUUUCCUGCAGCCGCUGUCUCUCUGGAAUGUGACCUUGGAAGACAGACAUGGGAUCAUCUGUAGGAUAAUGAGGAAAUCGGUGGUGAGUGUUGAAGUCAGGGCUAGAACCCGGAUCAUUUUCCUUCAAGUCAUGAAUUGUGCCUCCAAACCACACAGAAACACUUCACAGACCCCAAAGGAAACGAUGAGUAGCAGAACUGAUCAUGAGUCUCCUAAGAUUGGGAAGGAAAGGAUUGGAAUUCAUUCAAAAUGAGGGAACAAAAUCAUUGAAUGAAACCCACAUUGUAGAAUCUGAGGGUGGCUAUGAAAGACGAGAACCAAAAUAAAACUGAACAAAUGAGGAACA
rnacentral:lncRNA from 12 species